UUGGAUUGACACAAAAAAGGAACGAAUUGAAACUUGACGCCGUUCCGACAGUGUUCCACGAACAAAGCGAGCCAGCAACUUCGACACUGCAGGCAGUUCGACAGGGUCAAGCGCAAGUGAAGGACCAGGUGCUGCUGAUCAAGUCCCAUCCAUCCAUGAAAC